AAUCAACGCUGGCGGCGUGCCUCAGACAUGCAAGUCGAACGAUUAAAGCUCUCUUCGGAGAGUGUAUAGAGUGGCGCACGGGUGAGUAACACGUAAGUAAUCUACCCUCGAGUGGGGAAUAACAACCGGAAACGGUUGCUAAUACCGCAUAAUGCAGCGGCACCGCAAGGUGACAGUUGUUAAAGAUUUAUCGCUUGAGGAGGAGCUUGCGGCAGAUUAGCUAGUUGGUAGGGUAACGGCUUACCAAGGCUACGAUCUGUAACCGGUCUAAGAGGACGGUCGGUCACCCUGACACUGAAUAACGGGUCAGACUCCUACGGGAGGCAGCAGUCGGGAAUUUUGGGCAAUGGGCGAAAGCCUGACCCAGCAACGCCGCGUGAAGGAUGAAGUAUUUCGGUAUGUAAACUUCGAAAGAAUAGGAAGAAUUAAUGACGGUACUAUUUAUAAGGUCCGGCUAACUACGUG
rnacentral:rRNA from 1 species